rnacentral:rRNA from 1 species
GACGAACCGAGCGAACGUUAUUCGGAAUCACUGGGCUUAAAGGGCGCGUAGGCGGGCGGCCAAGUCAGGGGGUGAAAGCCCCCAGCUCAACUGGGGAAGUGCCUCUGAUACUGGUCAUCUCGAGGGAGAUAGGGGCGUGCGGAACUUCCGGUGGAGCGGUGAAAUGCGUAGAUAUCGGAAGGAACACCGGUGGCGAAAGCGGCGCGCUGGAUCUCUUCUGACGCUGAGGCGCGAAAGCCAGGGGAGCGAACGGGAUUAGAUGACCUAGUACGUCAGACCCAAG